rnacentral:rRNA from 1 species
AACUCUAAGCGGUGGAUCACUCGGCUCAUGGGUCGAUGAAGAACGCAGCAAACUGUGCGUCAUCGUGUGAACUGCAGGACACAUGAACAUCGACAUUUUGAACGCAUAUCGCAGUCCAUGCUGUUAUGUACUUUAAAUAAUUUUAUAGUGCUGCUUGGACUACAUAUGGUUGAGGGUUG